GGUCAAGUGAAGAAGCGCAUACGGUGGAUGCCUUGGCAGUCAGAGGCGAUGAAAGACGUGGUAGCCUGCGAAAAGCUUCGGGGAGUCGGCAAACAGACUGUGAUCCGGAGAUGUCUGAAUGGGGGAACCCAGCCAUCACAAGAUGGUUAUCUUACACUGAAUACAUAGGUGUAAGAGGCGAACCAGGGGAACUGAAACAUCUAAGUACCCUGAGGAAAAGAAAUCAACCGAGAUUCCCUUAGUAGUGGCGAGCGAACGGGGACCAGCCCUUAAGUUGUAUUGAGAUUAGCGGAACGCUCUGGAAAGUGCGGCCAUAGUGGGUGAUAGCCCUGUACGCGAAAAUCCCUUUGCAAUGAAAUCGAGUAGGACGGGGCACGAGAAACCUUGUCUGAAUAUGGGGGGACCAUCCUCCAAGGCUAAAUACUACUGACUGACCGAUAGUGAACCAGUACCGUGAGGGAAAGGCGAAAAGAACCGCGGAGAGCGGAGUGAAAUAGAUCCUGAAACCGUAUGCGUACAAGCAGUGGGAGCCCACUUUGUUGGGUGACUGCGUACCUUUUGUAUAAUGGGUCAGCGACUUAUUUUCAGUGGCGAGCUUAACCGAAUAGGGGAGGCGUAGCGAAAGCGAGUCUUAAUAGGGCGUCUAGUCGCUGGGAAUAGACCCGAAACCGGGCGAUCUAUCCAUGGGCAGGUUGAAGGUUGGGUAACACUAACUGGAGGACCGAACCGACUACCGUUGAAAAGUUAGCGGAUGACCUGUGGAUCGGAGUGAAAGGCUAAUCAAGCUCGGAGAUAGCUGGUUCUCCUCGAAAGCUAUUUAGGUAGCGCCUCAUGUAUCACUGUAGGGGGUAGAGCACUGUUUCGGCUAGGGGGUCAUCCCGACUUACCAAACCGAUGCAAACUCCGAAUACCUACAAGUGCCGAGCAUGGGAGACACACGGCGGGUGCUAACGUCCGUCGUGAAAAGGGAAACAACCCAGACCGUCAGCUAAGGUCCCAAAGUCAUGGUUAAGUGGGAAACGAUGUGGGAAGGCUUAGACAGCUAGGAGGUUGGCUUAGAAGCAGCCACCCUUUAAAGAAAGCGUAAUAGCUCACUAGUCGAGUCGGCCUGCGCGGAAGAUGUAACGGGGCUCAAACCAUGCACCGAAGCUACGGGUAUCACCUUUGGUGAUGCGGUAGAGGAGCGUUCUGUAAGCCUGUGAAGGUGAGUUGAGAAGCUUGCUGGAGGUAUCAGAAGUGCGAAUGCUGACAUGAGUAACGACAAUGGGUGUGAAAAACACCCACGCCGAAAGACCAAGGUUUCCUGCGCAACGUUAAUCGACGCAGGGUUAGUCGGUCCCUAAGGCGAGGCUGAAAAGCGUAGUCGAUGGAAAACAGGUUAAUAUUCCUGUACUUCUGGUUAUUGCGAUGGAGGGACGGAGAAGGCUAGGCCAGCCUGGCGUUGGUAGUCCAGGUUUAAGGUGGUAGGCUGAGAUCUUAGGUAAAUCCGGGAUCUUAAGGCCGAGAGCUGAUGACGAGUGUUCUUUUAGAACAUGAAGUGGUUGAUGCCAUGCUUCCAAGAAAAGCUUCUAAGCUUCAGGUAACCAGGAACCGUACCCCAAACCGACACAGGUGGUUGGGUAGAGAAUACCAAGGCGCUUGAGAGAACUCGGGUGAAGGAACUAGGCAAAAUGGCACCGUAACUUCGGGAGAAGGUGCGCCGGUGAGGGUGAAGCAUUUACUGCGUAAGCCCACGCCGGUCGAAGAUACCAGGCCGCUGCGACUGUUUAUUAAAAACACAGCACUCUGCAAACACGAAAGUGGACGUAUAGGGUGUGACGCCUGCCCGGUGCCGGAAGGUUAAUUGAUGGGGUUAGCGCAAGCGAAGCUCUUGAUCGAAGCCCCGGUAAACGGCGGCCGUAACUAUAACGGUCCUAAGCUAGCGAAAUUCCUUGUCGGGUAAGUUCCGACCUGCACGAAUGGCGUAACGAUGGCGGCGCUGUCUCCACCCGAGACUCAGUGAAAUUGAAAUCGCUGUGAAGAUGCAGUGUAUCCGCGGCUAGACGGAAAGACCCCGUGAACCUUUACUAUAGCUUUGCACUGGACUUUGAAUUUGCUUGUGUAGGAUAGGUGGGAGGCUUUGAAGCGUGGACGCCAGUCUGCGUGGAGCCAACCUUGAAAUACCACCCUGGCAACUUUGAGGUUCUAACUCAGGUCCGUUAUCCGGAUCGAGGACAGUGUAUGGUGGGUAGUUUGACUGGGGCGGUCUCCUCCUAAAGAGUAACGGAGGAGUACGAAGGUGCGCUCAGACCGGUCGGAAAUCGGUCGUAGAGUAUAAAGGCAAAAGCGCGCUUGACUGCGAGACAGACACGUCGAGCAGGUACGAAAGUAGGUCUUAGUGAUCCGGUGGUUCUGUAUGGAAGGGCCAUCGCUCAACGGAUAAAAGGUACUCCGGGGAUAACAGGCUGAUACCGCCCAAGAGUUCAUAUCGACGGCGGUGUUUGGCACCUCGAUGUCGGCUCAUCACAUCCUGGGGCUGAAGCCGGUCCCAAGGGUAUGGCUGUUCGCCAUUUAAAGUGGUACGCGAGCUGGGUUUAGAACGUCGUGAGACAGUUCGGUCCCUAUCUGCCGUGGACGUUUGAGAUUUGAGAGGGGCUGCUCCUAGUACGAGAGGACCGGAGUGGACGAACCUCUGGUGUUCCGGUUGUCACGCCAGUGGCAUUGCCGGGUAGCUAUGUUCGGAAAAGAUAACCGCUGAAAGCAUCUAAGCGGGAAACUUGCCUCAAGAUGAGAUCUCACUGGAACCUAGAGUUCCCUGAAGGGCCGUCGAAGACUACGACGUUGAUAGGUUGGGUGUGUAAGCGCUGUGAGGCGUUGAGCUAACCAAUACUAAUUGCCCGUGAGGCUUGACCAU
rnacentral:rRNA from 1 species